GUGAACGCUGGCGGUAGGCCUAACACCUGCCAGUCGAACGGCAGCACAGUAAGAGCUUGCUCUUACGGGUGGCGAGUGGCGGACGGGUGAGGAAUACAUCGGAAUCUACUUUUUCGUGGGGGAUAACGUAGGGAAACUUACGCUAAUACCGCAUACGACCUACGGGUGAAAGCAGGGGAUCUUCGGACCUUGCGCGAUUGAAUGAGCCGAUGUCGGAUUAGCUAGUUGGCGGGGUAAAGGCCCACCAAGGCGACGAUCCGUAGCUGGUCUGAGAGGAUGAUCAGCCACACUGGAACUGAGACACGGUCCAGACUCCUACGGGAGGCAGCAGUGGGGAAUAUUGGACAAUGGGCGCAAGCCUGAUUCAGCCAUACCGCGUGGGUGAAGAAGGCCUUCGGGUUGUAAAGCCCUUUUGUUGGGAAAGAAAAGCAGCAGGUUAAUACCCCGCUGUUCUGACGGUACCCAAAGAAUAAGCACCGGCUAACUUCGUG
rnacentral:rRNA from 1 species